rnacentral:rRNA from 1 species
GGAUUAGAUACCCUGGUAGUCCACGCCCUAAACGAUGCUGACUAGUUGUUCGGGAUUUACAUCCUGAGUAACGUAGCUAACGCGUGAAGUCAGCCGCCUGGGGAGUACGGUCGCAAGAUUAAAACUCAAAGGAAUUGACGGGGACCCGCACAAGCGGUGGAUGAUGUGGAUUAAUUCGAUGCAACGCGAAAAACCUUACCUACCCUUGACAUGUCACUAACGAAGUAGAGAUACAUUAGGUGCCCGUAAGGGAAAGUGAACACAGGUGCUGCAUGGCUGUCGUCAGCUCGUGCCG